GACGAACGCUGGCGGCGUGCUUAACACAUGCAAGUCGAACGGAAAGGCCCUGCUUGCAGGGUACUCGAGUGGCGAACGGGUGAGUAACACGUGGGUGACCUGCCCUGCACUUCUGGAUAAGCCUGGGAAACUUGGUCUAAUACCGGAUAGGAGACAUUUUUUGUGGGAUGGUUGGAAAGUUUUUCGGUGUUGGGAGAGCUCGCGGCCUAUCAGCUUGGUGGUGGGGUAAUGGCCUACCAAGGCGGCGACGGGUUGCCGGCCGGAGAGGGUGGACGGCCACAUUGGGACUGAGAUACGGCCCAGACUCCUACGGGAGGCAGCAGUGGGGAAGAUUGCACAAUGGGCGCAAGCCUGAUGCAGCGACGCCGCGUGGGGGAUGACGGCCUUCGGGUUGGAAACUCCUUUCGCUAGGGACGAAGCUUUUUGUGACGGUACCUAGAGAAGAAGCACCGGCUAACUACGUG
rnacentral:rRNA from 1 species